rnacentral:rRNA from 1 species
GGUGAACGCUAGCGGCAGGCUUAACACAUGCAAGUCGAGGGGUAUAGGUUUUCGGACCUAGAGACCGGCGCACGGGUGCGUAACGCGUAUGCAAUCUACCUUUCACAGAGGGACAGCCCAGAGAAAUUUGGAUUAAUACCUCAUAGUAUAGCAGUUUCGCAUGAAACCACUAUUAAAGUUCCAACGGUGAAAGAUGAGCAUGCGUCCCAUUAGCUAGAUGGUAAGGUAACGGCUUACCAUGGCUACGAUGGGUAGGGGUCCUGAGAGGGAGAUCCCCCACACUGGUAAUGAGACACGGACCAGACUCCUACGGGAGGCAGCAGUGAGGAAUAUUGGUCAAUGGACGCAAGUCUGAACCAGCCAUGCCGCGUGCAGGAUGACGGUCCUAUGGAUUGUAAACUGCUUUUGUACGAGAAGAAACAACAUUACGUGUAAUGUCUUGACGGUAUCGUAAGAAUAAGGAUCGGCUAACUCCGUGCCAGCCGCCGCGGUAAAAC